GCGAUUGUAGUUCAAUGGCAGAAUGUGCGACUGUGGCUCGCAUGAUAGGGGUUCGAUUCCCCUCAAUCGCC
rnacentral:tRNA from 1 species